rnacentral:rRNA from 1 species
GACAGAGGGUGCAACGUUGCUCGGAAUUACUGGGCGUAAAGCGCGUGUAGGUGGCUUCGCGAGUCCGAUGUGAAAGCCCAGGGCUCAACCCUGGAAGUGCAUUGGAUACUACGGAGCUGGAGGCCGGAAGAGGCGAGUGGAAUUCCUGGUGUAGCGGUGAAAUGCGCAGAUAUCAGGAGGAACACCGAUUGCGAAGGCAGCUCGCUGGGACGGUACUGACGCUAAGGCGCGAAAGCGUGGGGAGCGAACAGG